rnacentral:rRNA from 1 species
AGAGUUUGAUCAUGGCUCAGAUUGAACGCUGGCGGCAGGCCUAACACAUGCAAGUCGAGCGGUAGCACAAGAGAGCUUGCUCUCUGGGUGACGAGCGGCGGACGGGUGAGUAAUGUCUGGGAAACUGCCUGAUGGAGGGGGAUAACUACUGGAAACGGUAGCUAAUACCGCAUAACGUCUUCGGACCAAAGUGGGGGACCUUCGGGCCUCACGCCAUCAGAUGUGCCCAGAUGGGAUUAGCUAGUAGGUGGGGUAAUGGCUCACCUAGGCGACGAUCCCUAGCUGGUCUGAGAGGAUGACCAGCCACACUGGAACUGAGACACGGUCCAGACUCCUACGGGAGGCAGCAGUGGGGAAUAUUGCACAAUGGGCGCAAGCCUGAUGCAGCCAUGCCGCGUGUGUGAAGAAGGCCUUCGGGUUGUAAAGCACUUUCAGCGAGGAGGAAGGGUAGUGUGUUAAUAGCACAUUGCAUUGACGUUACUCGCAGAAGAAGCACCGGCUAACUCCGUGCCAGCAGCCGCGGUAAUACGGAGGGUGCAAGCGUUAAUCGGAAUUACUGGGCGUAAAGCGCACGCAGGCGGUUUGUUAAGUCAGAUGUGAAAUCCCCGCGCUUAACGUGGGAACUGCAUUUGAAACUGGCAAGCUAGAGUCUUGUAGAGGGGGGUAGAAUUCCAGGUGUAGCGGUGAAAUGCGUAGAGAUCUGGAGGAAUACCGGUGGCGAANGCGGCCCCCUGGACAAAGACUGACGCUCANGUGCGAAAGCGUGGGGAGCAAACAGGANUAGAUACCCCGGUAGU